GCGAAUUUUGCAAAACAAAACGGCCGGCCGUUUGGAAAAGUCGGAAGAAAGUCAGUUAGCAAGUGGAAAUCACCGGAAAACCUACACAGCGCGGCAGAAGGAAAAUAGUGAAAAUCGUAGAAGCUUACACCGCAGACGGGAAAUAUAAAAAGCCAAAAAGCAGCUCCGACAAGCAGCGCAGUCGACGCUGGCAGCGCCGAGGGCAGAUAACCAUAGUUAAUAACAAUAACAAAGCGGAAUAAAAACAAAAGAGCGAAGCACAUGAAAAGAUAAUAAGUAGAAACCGAAACAAACAAAAAAUCGCGCGUUUAAUUAACGGACAUUCGGCGGGAGCAGCGCGGUCGACGCCGCAGUCGCAGUUGGCGUCGCAGUCGCCGUCGCGCAUUCGUGUGUGUUUGUGUGAGUGUGCGUGAGUUCUGUGUGAGCUGGGAUAUAAAACUGCAAUUGAUUGCAAUUUCGGCGGCAUUUGCAAAAUAGCAAGCCGGCGAAGAACAUAAAUCAGAGAAAUCAAUAAACAAAUACAAUAUACAAGCGAACAAUAAUAUACUAUUAAAAAACUUAUACAAAAGCACAACAAAUAUAAAAUCAGCACAACAAAAAUACAGCCAAACGGUUCGUCAAAUCAAGCGGAUCCCUGCAGCCAAAAUAAUCAGCAAUCUGAUGUAGCAAAAGCCAA